UACAGAGGGUGCAAGCGUUAAUCGGAAUUACUGGGCGUAAAGCGUGCGCAGACGGUUGCGUAAGCCAGGUGUGAAAUCCCCGGGCUCAACCUGGGAAUGGCAUUUGGGACUGCAAGGCUGGAGUGCGGCAGAGGAGACUGGAAUUCCUGGUGUAGCAGUGAAAUGCGUAGAUAUCAGGAGGAAUACCGAUGGCGAAGGCAGGUCUCUGGGCUGACACUGACGCUCAUGCACGAAAGCGUGGGGAGCAAACAGG
rnacentral:rRNA from 1 species